UCUGACAUUCUUUUCAUGUAUUUAAGGCAAUCAAAAAAGAAUCCACAGCUAACCACCUGUCCUGGGUGGCAUGAGAACCAUGGGCUGAGGAUUGGACAAGCUUGCUCUACAAUAUUCACAGGCCACAGAUCAGCCCUGGGGUUCAGAGGGAUCCUGACAGCUACUCCUCAAGAUCCUCUCUGUUGUGAUUCAUCCCCCCGGGGCCCUACAGUUUCUCCUUCCUGACUCUUACAUUUCUUUGGAUGGCAUCAUUAUUUACCUGUCUCCUCCCAUAGUUAGGUGCCAAGCACUGUGGAUUCUGCCUCUCAGUGUCCAGACACCCAUUUUCCUUCCCACUGUUCCUUCCCCAUGGAGAAGCCUGUGGCUGGCUGACAGCAGAGAGAGAUGCUCAACUUGGAGAAGGUGUUACCUGGGCCAGGUGGGGAAGGUUUGUUUGCAGAGCAAAGAAGUGAAGGAAGUAUUAACCCUUUGCAUGGCCUCCUGAGAAUCCGACAAGACGUAAAUAGCCAAGAAUAUCUGUGAAACUUCAUCACUGAGUUACAAUAUUUAUCACUGCAAGUGUGUUGUUCAUUGACACUAUAAAGCCAUGUGGAAUUAAGCAGCCUUGAAACACAAAAUGGAGAAAGGCUAAGAGCUGAGAAUUGUUGCCUUCAGGGAAAUACAAUCAAUGUCAAGCAAACAACCACCCC
ensembl:lncRNA MYO3B-AS1 MYO3B antisense RNA 1